rnacentral:rRNA from 1 species
AGCACCGAAUCCCGCGGCCGAUAUCGGGCGCCGGGAAAUGUGGUGUUAGGGAGGAUCCGUUUAUCUCGAGGUCGUGCGACGCGUCCAAGUCCUUCUUGAACGGGGCCACAGCCCAAAGAGGGUGCCAGGCCCGUAGCGACCGUCGCACAUCGCGGGAGGAUCUCUCCUCAGAGUCGGGUUGCUUGAGAGUGCAGCCCUAAGUGGGUGGUAAACUCCAUCUAAGGCUAAAUAUGACCACGAGACCGAUAGCGAACAAGUACCGUGAGGGAAAGUUGAAAAGCACUUUGAAGAGAGAGUUCAAGAGUACGUGAAACCGUUCAGGGGUAAACCUGAGAAACCCGAAAGGUCGAAGGGGGAAAUUCAUUCGUGUCUCGGCCGCCGGAGCGGAGCGUUCGAGUGACGGACGGCGUACGCGCCGUCUGCGCCGUACGUUUCGCGUUUCGACGUCGAACGCGUGCACUUUUCCCCUAGUAGGACGUCACGAUCCGUUGGGCGUCGGUCUAAGGCUCGCGGUGGAGACCGAGCGCGCGUUUCGGCGAUGCGCUCGGACCCGCGAAGUCCCGGCCGGCUCGCUCGACGGUAUACAGAUGGCGCGGGGCCGCUACCUUUCAGUUAGCGUUCGGCCCGCGGCAAGCGCGUCAGCCGUUGUCGGCGAUCGGACCUAGCGCCGGUCCUGACCACUGACGACUGUUGGCCGCGGUGCUCUCGAACAGACCCCGUUCGAAACGCCGAUCUGUGACGCUAUAGCUUUGGGUACUUUCAGGACCCGUCUUGAAACACGGACCAAGGAGUCUAGCAUGUGCGCGAGUCAUUGGGACAUAACUAAACCUAAAGGCGCAAUGAAAGUGAAGGUUCGCCUCGCGCGAACCGAGGGAGGAUGAGCGGUUCGCGUUCACGCGCGGCCGCUCCGCACUCCCGGGGCGUCUCGUUCUCAUCGCGAGAAGAGGCGCACCAAGAGCGUACACGCUGGGACCCGAAAGAUGGUGAACUAUGCCUGGUCUG